rnacentral:tRNA from 1 species
GACAACGUGCCAGAGUGGUUAAUGGGUAUGACUCGAACACUGGGUCUUAGUGACACAUCAAGAUAUCAUAUGGAUUCGUCCGCGUAGGUUCAAAUCCUGCCGUUGUGC